CUGCAGAGCCAGAAGUGAGCUGCGUCUGCAACCUACACUGCAGCUCACAGCAAUGCUGGAUCCUUAACCAACUGAGUGGGCCAGGGAUCAAACCCACGUCCUCAUGGAUACUAGUUGGCUUCGUUACAGUUGAACCACAUCGACAACUCCCUACUUCACCAUCUUGACCAAUCACCUGCUCCAUUUUUUUUUUUUUUUUUGAUAGAGUACAAAGGGCAGGCAUCUUUUUAGUUCUGAGUGGCCUUAUCCUUCCUAUUUUGGACUCCUCACUGGGUCAAAUAUUCAUUUGUGCCUUCCUUUAUACAGUGUCAUAUAGUACAUGGACAGCACUAGUUAAAGAAGAGGGGUACAAAUCUAAGAAACUCUACUGCAUAAUGCUUAGCUAAUUCUCAGGUUCUAGCCAGACUGUCUGCAUUUAAAUACAUACUCUGCCACUUUGUGGUUGUGUGACGUUGGGCAAAGUACUGAGCCUCUCUGUGUUUCUGUUUCCUCAUUUAAGAAAACGGGAAUGCUAGGACUUAUCUUAAUGGUGUUAUUAUGAAGACCAAAGGAGUUAAUUUAUGUAACAUGGUUAGAAUGGUGCCUGGCAUAAAAUGAGUGUAUAAAAAAAUAUCUACAACUCACUAAAGAAAGACCAAUAAUCAGAAUAUACAAUUUAUAGAUAAGGCAAUACAAGUUGCUACUAAAUAUAUGAAAAAAUAAUCAAUUUCAUUCAUAAUAAGAGGCGUUUUUAGUCUAUCAGAUUGGCAAAGAUGGGAAUAUUUGACGACACAUUGCACUGGUGAAGGUGAGGGAAAUUAGAUAUUUUCAUGAAUUGCUAAUGAGAAUGUUAACCAGAGAGCAGUUUGGCAAGAACUAUAGGAAGUGAAAAUGCACAUAACUUCUUUUUCUGCAAUAGCAUAUCUUAGACUUUAUUUUACAAACUGUAAAGUAACCUAUAUACCAGAAUAUUUCAUAAAGCACUUUUUGUAAUUGUAAAAUAAUGAAAAGGAAAGAACAACUCUAUAAUGAUAUGGAAAAAUGUCUAAUAUAUAUUGCUAAGUGAAAGAAUACAGGUACAGAACUAUGAGUAUAGUAUAAUGUCAUUUGUAUAAACAAAAGAACAAUACAAACAGCCUUUUAUUAGUUUAGAAUAUAUUAUCCAAGAUAAAAUAUUCUUUUUAGAUAUACACAAAUAUUCUUUUUAGAGAUAAACGGAGGUGGUUUGGGACAGGCAGAUUUCUUUUCUACUGUAAUCUUUCAUGCCAUUAGAAUUUUAACAUAUUUUUUUGGCUGUACCAACAGCAUGAGAAAGUUCCUGGGCUAGGGAUCAAAUCCAUGCUACAGAAGUGACCUCAGCCACAGAAGUGACAAUGCUGGAUCCUUAACCCACAACAGAUUUUUUUUUUUUUUUAAACCAGGAGCAUACAUUUUCUAGUCAUAAAAAAAGUGCAAAUGUCAAAAAAAACCCACAAAAAAACAAAAACAAAACAAACCUGUAAAAAGUAAAAAAAACAAAAACAAAAAAACACAUGGAAGUUCUUGGGCCAGGGACUGAAUCUGAACCACAGUUUUGACCUAUGCCACAGCUGCAGCAACCCAAACCACUGCAGUAGGAUUCUUAACCCACCAUGCUACAGCAUGUACCCCUAAAAAAGUAAAUUUUUUAUAUUAACUUUAGACUUAAUUUAUCAUUGGAAAACCAUUUGACUUACUACUUUUUUUUAGGUGUUUUUGCAAAAUUCAGUAAGCUAAAUCCCUGGACUUUAGCUCAGACACAAUCAGUUAAGUCAGUUAAGUUAAAAAGAAGACCUAUAAUUUUUCAGUAAGACUACUCAUUAUCUCAGCUUUCUUAUCUAUAAGAUGACAGUGAAUAUGUUUACCUGCUUGAAAGAGUUGCUAGAGGAAUUUCUGAUCGGUGUUUCAGCAGUAACUUGUAAAGGUGAUGGAAUUGCAGAAUGGGGUCUGUUACCGUUUGAGACUGUCCUCCAGCUCAUCAUUUCCAGAAGAAGGAGAGCAUUUAAAUUGUCCCAUUGGGUUGUACUUUGUGAUCCACUCAAUUUGCUCUUUCAUUUUUGUCCUGCCUUUUUUUUUUCUCUUCUUUUUAGGCUGUACCUGCAGCAUAUGGAGGUUCCCAGGCUAGGGAUUAAAUUGGAGCUACAGCUGCUGGCCAUAGCCACAGCCAAAGUGAUGCAGGAUCCGAGCCACGUCUGUGACCUAAAACCACAGCUCAUGGCAAUCCUGGAUCCUUAACCCACUGAGUGAGGCCAGGGAUUGAACCUGCAUCCUUAUGGAUACUAGUCAGGUUCGUUACCACUGAGACACACUGGGAAAUCCCUGCCUUGUUCCUUGUGAGGUUAGUUUGGAGCAUCACCAGCUUCCCACCAUCAAGCCCAGUUGACUUCUUCCUCUGCCCCCAAACCCCACAUCCAACCCUUUGCCAAGUUGCUUCUGUCACCCCAAUGCCUCUCUCAUCUGUUCAUCUCCAAUCAUACAGUUCAUAGCAGCAGCUUGAACUGGAUUCAUUGGACCCACUCCUCAGAUCAUCCUCCCAGCUUCCUUUAUUUGGUUUAGUGUUACCUGAUUUUUAACACUCAGAUUAAAUUUGGCUUCUUUAUUAAAUCUGUGCUGAAAAUUCCCCUUGAGGAUUAUAGUACACUCUGCUUCAUAUUUAUAUUUUGUAUACCCUUCUUGUAACCUUCAUCAUAUCACAUUGUGCAAUGGACUCAAUGUUUGUAACCCCCACCCAAUUCACAUGUUGAAAUCCUUAGUCUCAACAGGGUAGGAAGUGGCGCCUUUGGGGACUAUUAGGUUAUGAGUGUGGAGCCCUCAUGAAUGAGCGCAUGGAGAGAAGGCAGUGUCUGCAACCAGAAGAGGACUCCUGCAGAACCUGACCGUGCUGGCACCCUGAUCUUAGCCUUCCAGCUCCAGAACCAUGAGAAAUAAAUGUCUGUUGUUUAUAAAACACCCAGUCUGUGGUAAUUUGUCAACCAAGACACAAUGUAACUACUUGUUUUUCAUGUUUGUUGUUCUCACUAGGCUGGGAGAUCCUCCAGACAGGACUAAGCCCUCUCCCCUUUUGGAAACUAUCAUGUAUUGAUGAGCUUCUAUGUGCCAAGUUCUAUAGAAAAGUUGUAGCUAUGUUAUCUCAUUGUAUCCCUUCCUCAGCAACCCCUAGAAAUAGACAUGAAAUCCAGGUUAGAGGGGAGGAUUCUAAGAACAGAGAAUUUAAGAGACUUGCUGAGCUGCAAUUUGUAAAUUUCCUCUUUGUAUUCUGUUAUAUCAUCCAACUCAGUGGUGUUCAGUGCUAAGGGCAAGCUAAAAUUCCUGAAUGUAGGCUCAGUUUAGAUACCACCUGUUCUAGGUAUCCCCUGUACCCUAAUGUUACCUCUUUGUUGCAUGUAAAUCCUGAUCAGACCUCUGUUACCACAUUUACCUCUCUGACUUGUGCUCUUCCACCAGGCAGGUGAGUUUUCUAAGUCUGUUGUGUAGACUAGAUGGAUAAUACUUCUCUUCUGCCCUGAGCAGGCAGGAGUGGGAGGCUGGCCUGCUGGGCCAGCUCUGGAAGAAAUGCUCCCGGAGCACCCAGGGCCAAGGCAGUUAAUUUGCCCUAGUGGUGAGGAGGAAAUUUCUUGUAAAAGCUAGCUCCCCUCAGAACAAUGUGGCCUUUUAUAUUUUAGCUUUGGAAUGGAGCCUAGCUGUCCGUGGAAACAAAGAGAGGAGAGAAUCACUGAACCAGUCUCACACAUAAAAAACUGACCAUGUCUGUCUUUGAAGUCUCCUUUAUGUCGUUUUUGAAAACUUUGGAUUAUAGGGGUGUUUUUUCCUCCUUUUCUUCCUCAGUUCCUCACCCCACCCCAAUUUUUUUUCAGAGAGAAGAGAGAACUGGGUGUAAGGGAACCUUUCUUUGAAACGGGGCAGAAGUCAUUAAUUAAGGCUCCCAUUCAUUCCUGCUGACAGUUGCUCAUCAAUCAGAUUUCCUCUUAGCAUUCUGAUGACCCUGCUGACCUGGAGUCCUCCAUACUGUCUGCCAGACGGAAUUGAAACUCAGACCACACACCAGAAAAGAGGGAGUGGGCCCUGGCUCCUGGCUUCCUGAGAUUGAGGAGGAAGCAUCUGGGGACAAAGCUGGCGGGUCGGGAGCCCUUUGGAGUCGAGGUGAAGGCGCAGGCUGGGAGAAGAGAAGAGGUGGGUCUCACUGAGGCUGGAGUUUUUCAAGAAGAGUACCAUGAAGCAAGAGAGGAAAAGAGAGCUGAAGGUGCAUGUGCUCUGCUGCCGUCUGCUGUAUGAAAUGACCUGCUGGGCACAGUUUAUUCUGAAGGGUUCCCGUGUGGAAAAGUGGAAAACCACACACGCUCAGAUGUUUGUGAUCUCCAGCUACAAGUCCAGACGGGGGUGAGGCAGCUGCAUUCAGGCUUCCUGUUCUCCACCCAUUGCAUAAGAAACACAGGGGCCAGAGAAAUAUUAAAUGACACCAUGGAGAUGGAUCCAACUAACUGAAUCCAGAAGAUGAGGAAACUGAGCCUUAGGAAGAUAGGCUGACUUGUCUAAGGGCACUCACCAGAAUUUGAAUCUGUCUUCAUCUAACUCCCAAUCAUCUUUGAUGCUCAGAGCUCCAAUGAUGUGUUGAAUAUGGUAAUAAAGAAAUAUCAGUCAGGAGGACUGAUGUUAAUGAGAUGGUGGAACAAGUGGUCCUGGCUUCAGUCUCCUUCACAGAAAGACCUGAUGGCAACUGUGCACAAGAUGCCUCUGGGAAGAUUCCAAAUCCUAGGAGUAAGGCUGAAGCAUACGCUUGGAUCCAAGGUACAGAAACAAAGAAAAACUGCACUGGAAAGGUUGAGACCACGAUGUCGCUUUGCAUGGCCCCUCCCCUCUGCAGGCAUAGUUCUGUUCCUGGAGGGUUUCUCAGGGCCUAUAAUCUCUUCUGUGGGAUAAAGAGAGCUCAAGGUCAAAAUCCAGCUUCCCCAGCAUUCCAGGAUGCGUUCCAGGAGGGCCACUUCAGCCUUGCCUCACAGGAAUCACUGGGGGAGUCAAUGAGGGUAGACUAGUAGGGAUCAGCUAGAGACAGAGAAGGGGAUGAGGCUCACAGCAAAGAACAUGUGGGUCUUGGCCAAUUAUGUUCCUGCUGGUGAUGACACCUGAGCAGAGAGCCUGACCAGUGUCCUGCCUACCCACAGAGUGAGCUAGAGGCCCUGUCUGGCCGGGUUUUGUGGGCAGUUCUGCACAGUUUGGGUCCCCACCCAAGGGGCUGUCUGGCCGAAGAUCUUAUACUAUGACCCUACCCACCCUGGAUGCCAAGCCCCCAGUCCUGCCUGGCAAGAGCCUGGCAAGAGACCAUGAGCAGCCUCUGAGCCCAGUUUACUGCUCUGUUUGGGCAGGGAAGCAAGCCAUCAGUCCUACCUAGCAACAGAGCACAGCUUGUGGCCUUGUCCAACCAUGGAGGCUGGGCACCAAACCUGCCCAGUCUCAGAGCCUAAGGCCCAAGUCAAUUAUUGAGCAUAUUCAGUGGUCCAACCCAAUCAGGGAGCCAGCCCAACAUCAGAGCACAGCUAGUGGCCUGUCCAAUUGUGGAUUACAGCCUGUGGCCCUGUCUCAUCAUAUAGUAAGCCAGCUGCAGUUUUUGAGGCUAGUAUUACCCCGAUACCAAAGCCAGAUAACAUUACAAGAAAAGGUAAUCAUAGGCCAAUACAUCUCUGAGGAAUACUGAAGAAAAAUCCUCAACAAAAUAUUAGCAAAUCAAAUUGAACAGUACAUUAAAAGGAUCAUACACUACAAUUAAGUGUUUUUUUUCCCCAGGGAUUCAAGCAUGUUUCAACCUAUGUAAACCAACUAAUGUAUGUAACAUUAAUAAAAUGAAGGAUUAAAAUCAUUUGAUCAGAAAAAAAUCAUUUGACAAAAUCUAACAUCCUUUCAUGACGAAAACUUUCAACAAAGUGGAUAUGGAGGGAACAUGCCUUGACUUAAUAAAGGCCAUAUAUAAAAAACCCACAACUAACAUCACACUCAACAGCAAAUGUUUGAAAGCUUUUCCUCUAAGGUCAGGAGCAAGACAAAGAUGCCCGCUCUCACCACUCCUAUUCAACACAGUACUGGAAGCCCUAGCUAGAGCAGUUAGGCAAGUAAAAGAAAUAAAAAACAAACAGAUUGGAAAGGAAGAAGUAAAAUUGUCUCUAUUUGCAGAUAACACGAUCUUCUAUAUAGAAAAUCAUAAAAGGUCCAGCAAAAAACUUUUAGAAUCAAUAAAUACAGUAAAAUUCAAGGAUGCAAAAUCAACACGCAAAAAUCAGUUGCGUUCCUGUAUAUGGAGAAUGAAUUCUCUGAGAAUGAAAUAAAUAAAAUAGUCCUAUUCAAAAUAAUAUCCAAAAGAAUAAAAAUACUGAGAAAUAAAUUUUAUCAAGGAAGUGAAAGAUCUAUAUACUGAAAUCAUGGCUUUGAUGAAAUAAAUUGGAGAAGACACAAAUAAAUGAAAAGAUAUUCUAUAUUCAUGGAUGAAUCACAAGAAUUAAGAUAGUUAAAAUACCCAUGGGAGUUCCCUGGUGGCCUAGCAGUUAAGGAUUUGGCACUAUCACUGCUGUGGUUUGGGUUCAAUC